GAUGAACGCUGGCGGCGUGCCUAAUACAUGCAAGUCGAGCGAACGGACGAGAAGCUUGCUUCUCUGAUGUUAGCGGCGGACGGGUGAGUAACACGUGGAUAACCUACCUAUAAGACUGGGAUAACUUCGGGAAACCGUAGCUAAUACCGGAUAAUAUUUUGAACCGCAUGGUUCAAAAGUGAAAGACGGUCUUGCUGUCACUUAUAGAUGGAUCCGCGCUGCAUUAGCUAGUUGGUAAGGUAACGGCUUACCAAGGCAACGAUGCAUAGCCGACCUGAGAGGGUGAGCGGCAACACUGGAACUGCGACACGGUCCAGACUCCUACGGGAGGCAGCAGUAGGGAAUCUUACGCAAUGGGCGAAAGCCUGAAGGAGCAACGCCGCGUGAGUGAUGAAGGUCUUCGGAUCGUAAAACUCUGUUAUUAGGGAAGAACAUAUGUGUAAGUAACUGUGCACAUCUUGGCGGUACCUAAUCAGAAAGCCACGGCUAACUACGUG
rnacentral:rRNA from 1 species